UUGACCUCGGAUCAGGUGAGGAUACCCGCUGA
rnacentral:rRNA from 5 species